rnacentral:rRNA from 1 species
GUGGGGAAUAUUGGACAAUGGGGGGAACCCUGAUCCAGCCAUGCCGCGUGUGUGAAGAAGGCCUUUUGGUUGUAAAGCACUUUAAGCGAGGAGGAGGCUACCGAGAUUAAUACUCUUGGAUAGCGGACGUUACUCGCAGAAUAAGCACCGGCUAACUCUGUGCCAGCAGCCGCGGUAAUACAGAGGGUGCAAGCGUUAAUCGGAUUUACUGGGCGUAAAGCGCGCGUAGGUGGCCAAUUAAGUCAAAUGUGAAAUCCCCGAGCUUAACUUGGGAAUUGCAUUCGAUACUGGUUGGCUAGAGUAUGGGAGAGGAUGGUAGAAUUCCAGGUGUAGCGGUGAAAUGCGUAGAGAUCUGGAGGAAUACCGAUGGCGAAGGCAGCCAUCUGGCCUAAUACUGACACUGAGGUGCGAAAGCAUGGGGAGCAAACAGGAUUAGAAACCCCGGUAGUCC